GAACGCUGCGGCGUGCUAACACAUGCAAGUCGAGCGAUCUCUCGGAGAAAGAGCGGCGGACGGGUGAGUAACGCGUGGGUAACUGCCCUGUACACACGGAUAACAUACCGAAAGGUAUGCUAAUACGGGAUAACAUAUUUUGAUGGCAUCAUCGUAAUAUCAAAGCUCCGGCGGUACAGGAUGGACCCGCGUCUGAUUAGCUAGUUGGUGAGGUAAUGGCUCACCAAGGCGACGAUCAGUAGCCGACCUGAGAGGGUGAUCGGCCACAUUGGAACUGAGACACGGUCCAAACUCCUACGGGAGGCAGCAGUGGGGAAUAUUGCACAAUGGGCGAAAGCCUGAUGCAGCAACGCCGCGUGAGCGAUGAAGGCCUUCGGGUCGUAAAGCUCUGUCCUCAAGGAAGAUAAUGACGGUACUUGAGGAGGAAGCCCCGGCUAACUACGUGCCAGCAGCCGCGGUAAUACGUAGGGGGCUAGCGUUAUCCGGAAUUACUGGGCGUAAAGGGUGCGUAGGUGGUUUUUUAAGUCAGAAGUGAAAGGCUACGGCUCAACCGUAGUAAGCUUUUGAAACUGAGAAACUUGAGUGCAGGAGAGGAGAGUAGAAUUCCUAGUGUAGCGGUGAAAUGCGUAGAUAUUAGGAGGAAUACCAGUUGCGAAGGCGGCCCUCUGGACUGUAACUGACACUGAGGCACGAAAGCGUGGGGAGCAAACAGGAUUAGAUACCCUGGUAGUCCACGCCGUAAACGAUGAGUACUAGGUGUCGGGGGUUACCCCCCUCGGUGCCGCAGCUAACGCAUUAAGUACUCCGCCUGGGAAGUACGCUCGCAAGAGUGAAACUCAAAGGAAUUGACGG
rnacentral:rRNA from 1 species